rnacentral:rRNA from 1 species
UACGGAGGGUGCAAGCGUUACUCGGAAUCACUGGGCGUAAAGGGUGCGUAGGCGGCCAAUAAAGUCAGAGGUGAAAGGCUACGGCUCAACCGUUGAACUGCUUGGGAAACUGGUAGCCUAGAGUGAGGGAGAGGCAGAUGGAAUUGGUGGUGUAGGGGUAAAAUCCGUAGAGAUCACCAGGAAUACCCAUUGCGAAGGCGAUCUGCUGGAACUCAACUGACGCUGAGGCACGAAAGCGUGGGGAG